rnacentral:rRNA from 1 species
GACGAACGCUGGCGGCGUGCUUAACACAUGCAAGUCGAACGGAAAGGCCCUGCUUUUGUGGGGUGCUCGAGUGGCGAACGGGUGAGUAACACGUGAGUAACCUGCCCUUGACUUUGGGAUAACUUCAGGAAACUGGGGCUAAUACCGGAUAGGAGCUCCUGCUGCUUGGUGGGGGUUGGAAAGUUUCGGCGGUUGGGGAUGGACUCGCGGCUUAUCAGCUUGUUGGUGGGGUAGUGGCUUACCAAGGCUUUGACGGGUAGCCGGCCUGAGAGGGUGACCGGCCACAUUGGGACUGAGAUACGGCCCAGACUCCUACGGGAGGCAGCAGUGGGGAAUAUUGCACAAUGGGCGGAAGCCUGAUGCAGCAACGCCGCGUGCGGGAUGACGGCCUUCGGGUUGUAAACCGCUUUCGCCUGUGACGAAGCGUGAGUGACGGUAAUGGGUAAAGAAGCACCGGCUAACUACGUGCCAGCAGCCGCGGUGAUACGUAGGGUGCGAGCGUUGUCCGGAUUUAUUGGGCGUAAAGGGCUCGUAGGUGGUUGAUCGCGUCGGAAGUGUAAUCUUGGGGCUUAACCCUGAGCGUGCUUUCGAUACGGGUUGACUUGAGGAAGGUAGGGGAGAAUGGAAUUCCUGGUGGAGCGGUGGAAUGCGCAGAUAUCAGGAGGAACACCAGUGGCGAAGGCGGUUCUCUGGGCCUUUCCUGACGCUGAGGAGCGAAAGCGUGGGGAGCGAACAGGCUUAGAUACCCUGGUAGUCCACGCUGUAAACGGUGGGUACUAGGUGUGGGGUCCAUUCCACGGGUUCCGUGCCGUAGCUAACGCUUUAAGUACCCCGCCUGGGGAGUACGGCCGCAAGGCUAAAACUCAAAGGAAUUGACGGGGCCCCGCACAAGCGGCGGAGCAUGCGGAUUAAUUCGAUGCAACGCGUAGAACCUUACCUGGGUUUGACAUGGAUCGGGAGUGCUCAGAGAUGGGUGUGCCUCUUUUGGGGUCGGUUCACAGGUGGUGCAUGGCUGUCGUCAGCUCGUGUCGUGAGAUGUUGGGUUAAGUCCCGCAACGAGCGCAACCCUUGUUCACUGUUGCCAGCACGUUAUGGUGGGGACUCAGUGGAGACCGCCGGGGUCAACUCGGAGGAAGGUGGGGAUGACGUCAAGUCAUCAUGCCCCUUAUGUCCAGGGCUUCACGCAUGCUACAAUGGCUGGUACAGAGAGUGGCGAGCCUGUGAGGGUGAGCGAAUCUCGGAAAGCCGGUCUCAGUUCGGAUUGGGGUCUGCAACUCGACCUCAUGAAGUCGGAGUCGCUAGUAAUCGCAGAUCAGCAACGCUGCGGUGAAUACGUUCCCGGGGCU